AGGUGAACCUGCGGAAGGAUCAUUACCGAGUUCAUGCCCUUCGGGGUAGAUCUCCCACCCUUUGUAUACUAUACCUUUGUUGCUUUGGCGGGCCGCCUAGCUACUGGCUUCGGCUGGUAAGUGCCCGCCAGAGAACCCAAAACCCUGAAUUAUUAGUGUCGUCUGAGUAAAAUAUUUAAUAUUUAAAACUUUCAACAACGGAUCUCUUGGCUCUGG
rnacentral:misc_RNA from 1 species